rnacentral:lncRNA from 1 species
UAAUUUUGCUAGUAUGUUUACUUCAUUGGAAUGAUUAAUCCAUAGAGAGAGAAAAAAAAAAAAUAAAUAAAUAAGUAAAAAAUAAAAUAAAUAAAUAAACAAAUGAACAUAUUUAUUCAUUUAUUUAUUAAUUAAAAAAAAAUAAAUGAAUGAAUAAACAUAUAUAUAUAUGAAAACAAAUUACAUAAAUGCAUAAAAUAAAUUAAUGAAUAAAUAAAUGAAUAAAUAAAUGAAUAAAUUAAUGAAUAAAUUAAUGAAUAAAUAAAUGAAUAAAUAAAUGAAUAAAUGAGUAAGCAAAAUGUAUAAAUUAUUGAAUAAACCAUAUAAAUAAGUAAAUAUAUAAAAUAAGCAACAUUUUAUAAAGGUAUAUGUCAUGUAUAAUAUAUAUAAAAUGCGUUUUUAAUUAAAUAUUGUUUUUAUAAUGUCCUCUUCCAAUAGUUUGUUUAUGGACAAAUUCAAAGUUGAUGCAGAAAUCGUGAAUGGCGAUGGUAAAGAAAAUAGAAAAGUAAAACAAUAUGAAGAUCAUAAAAGCGAAAAUGAAAGAAAUGAAAGAAAUGAAAGAAAUGAAAGAUAUGUAAAAAAUGAAAGAAAUGAAAGAUAUGUAAAAAAUGAAAGAAAUGAAAGAAAUGAAAAAAAUGAAAAAAAUGAAAGAUAUGAAAAAAAUGAAAAAAAUGAAAGAUAUGAAAAAUAUGAAAGAAAUGAAAGAAGAAAUGAACAGAACAUGACGGAACGGAUAAAGGAAAAGGCAUUAUUUGGUAACACAAGAAAAAAACAAAACUUAAAAAAUGAUAAUGAGUUCGCUUCUUUUACAUUGAUGAAAAAUAAAAAGGAUACAAUAAGUUAUGAUGUUUCUCAAUAUACUGAUAAGUUUUAUAAUAAUAGUAAUGGAUAUAAUAAUAGUAAUGGAUAUAAUAAUAGUAAUGGAUAUAAUAGUAGUAAUGAAUGUAAUAGUAAUAAUGGAUAUAAUGGAUAUAAUGAUAGUAAUGGAUAUAACGGUAGUAAUAUUAUUGUUGGUAAUAGUUGUCAUACUUCUUUUAAUUCAAGAUUCUCAAACGAGAAUGUAUGUAAUAGUGAUAAAUAUAAAGAAUCAUUUUAUAAUAAUAAAAAAAUUUUUAAAAAUUAUAAUAAUUGUAUAUACAAGGUUGAAUACCAUAGAGAUAAUAAAAAUGGAGUGUACUACAAAAAAUCAUUUUAUUGUCCAAGAAAACAGAUUCAAAAUAAAGGAGUUGAUCAUUAUGGUGAAUGUUUAAACGAAUAUUCUAUAAAAAGGUAUAAAUAUACAAAUGUUGAUAAUAAUAACAUUAUUAAUGGUAAUCACGAUAGUAGUAGUCUGAUUGAUGGUGAAAUGGGAUGUGGUAGUAGCAAUAGUGGUUUUAAUGGUCAAAUUGUUUUCAAUAGACGUAGAUGUGGUAUUAAAAAUCGUAAUAAUAGUUAUAAAAAUGAAAAAUAUUCACAUGGUUCUCCUUGUACUACACAAGGUGCUAUAAACAAAGACAAUUUUUUUAGAAGCCCUUCUUCUGAAUCAUAUAAGUAUUGUUAUAACAACAACAACAAUAAUAACAACAACAAUAAUAAUAAUGAUAAUAAUAAUAAUAAUAAUUAUUAUGAAAAACAUAAAAAUGAUUUUGAAUCAAACUUAAAAAACGAUAAACACGAUUCGUGUAGGUAUAACACAUAUAUCAAAAAUAAAAUACAUGAUUAUGAUGUAAAAGAAAAAAGAAAGGAAGAAGGAGGAGAAAAGGGAUUCAACAAAUAUGAAAGAGAGAAAAAAAAGGAAUACAAAAAAUAUGAAAAGGAAAAAGAAAAGGAAAAAGAA